AUUGAACGCUGGCGGCAGGCCUAACACAUGCAAGUCGAGCGAGCGGCGGACGGGUGAGUAAUAUGUGGGAAACUUCCUGAUGGAGGGGGGGAACCACUCGAAACGGUAGCUAAUACCGCAUACCAUCAGAGGUUCCCAGGUGGGAUUAGCUAGUAGGUGGGGUAACGGCUCACAUAGGCGACGAUCCCUAGCUGGUCUGAGAGGAUGACCAGCCACACUGGAACUGAGACACGGUCCAGACUCCUACGGGAGGCAGCAGUGGGGAAGAUUGCACAAUGGGCGCAAGCCUGAGGCAGCAAUGCCGCGUGUGUGAAGAAGGCCUUCGGGUUGUAAAGCACUUUCAGCGGGGAGGCGUUACCCGCAGAGGAAGCAACGGCUAACUCCGUGCCAGCAGCCGCGGUAAUAC
rnacentral:rRNA from 1 species